GUGAGUGCCGAGUGCCGGCCCAAGAGUCCGAAGGUUUGUAUGCGGCCCCCCAGCAUUCCGUCUCCAUUCCUCCUCGUGACACCGCCAGUGGAAGACUCAAGACACCUACUCCAAAGUUGAAAAAAUCCAGUGACAACAUGCCAGAUCCCUGCUCUGACGAUACUUGCAAGACCGGAAAGGGUGACUGCUCUAAGGAUGGGGGCGGCUGCUGCAGCGAGAGCAAGUGCAAAUGCAACAAGUCCGGAGAAAAGAAAUGUGGUUCCGGCUGCAAAUGCAAGGGCAGCGAUGGCAAAUGCCAGUGCACUGAUUCUUGCAAAUGCUAAGCUGAACAUCGAAAGAUGGCAACAAUGAGAAAUCCUGAUUAUUAUCAGCUAAAAAUUUUCCUGCUUCUUUCACUAAAUCUGCACCUUCACCUUCAUCUAAAUAAUUGCUAAAUUCGCCUUUUAUCAAAAUUCACACUUUCACCGAUUUCAUGAGUUUAUAAUCCUUAAAUCAAUAUGGUCACUGUGAAUAUAAAGAAGGUAAAACAUGGGCGCCCGCACACAGGAACAAGGGCGGCACUUGCCAAGCCCCCCCCCCCCCUGAAAUCCUGGAAAAAAUUUAAUAUAUAUACAUACACAUAUAUAUAAUAUAUGUAUAUUACAUUUAACUACAUCACUUUGAUUUCCUUCCAUUUUACAAUAUAUUCUUUCAAUUUAAGUAAAUUAAAUGUAUCAUUGUAUAUUGUAUAUUUGUAUAUUGUAACAACUGCGCCGUUCUUAACAGAAAUAUUUGAAUUCAACUGAACAGUAUAUGUAAAGUAUUUUUUUCUUUAUCGCAUCUUGCUUCACUUAAAUCUGUGGCAUUACAGUUCCACUGCAUAUAACAAUACAAUUUGCCCCCUUGAAAAAUAUGCUACGGCCGCCCAUGAGGUAAAACAUAUUACAGUGUUGUCAAAUAAAAUUAUGCAAGCAGUUAUAUUGUUUGCACUGUCACGAAUAUUGGUCGCUCGUCAAUAAAGGAAAUAAUGCAACA